CGGGUGGCUGCACCAGUGGGGAAUAUUGCACAAUCGAGGAAACUCUGAUGCAGCAACGCCGCGUGGAGGAUGACACUUUUCGGAGCGUAAACUCCUUUUAUAUAGGAAGAAGAUGACGGUACUAUAUGAAUAAGCGCCGGCUAACUCCGUGCCAGCAGCCGCGGUAAUACGGAGGGCGCAAGCGUUACUCGGAAUCACUGGGCGUAAAGAGCGUGUAGGCGGAUUAAAAAGUCAGAAGUGAAAUCCUAUAGCUUAACUAUAGAACUGCUUCUGAAACUCUUAAUCUAGAAUAUGGGAGAGGUAGAUGGAAUUUCUGGUGUAGGGGUAAAAUCCGUAGAGAUCAGAAGGAAUACCGAUUGCGAAGGCGAUCUACUAGAACAUUAUUGACGCUGAGACGCGAAAGCGUGGGGAGCAAACAGGAUUAGAUACCCCCGUAGUU
rnacentral:rRNA from 1 species